rnacentral:rRNA from 1 species
GACGAACGCUGGCGGCGUGCCUAAUACAUGCAAGUUGAGCGCUGAAGGUUGGUACUUGUACCGACUGGAUGAGCAGCGAACGGGUGAGUAACGCGUGGGGAAUCUGCCUUUGAGCGGGGGACAACAUCUGGAAACGAAUGCUAAUACCGCAUAAAAACUUUAAACACAAGUUUUAAGUUUGAAAGAUGCAAUUGCAUCACUCAAAGAUGAUCCCGCGUUGUAUUAGCUAGUUGGUGAGGUAAAGGCUCACCAAGGCGAUGAUACAUAGCCGACCUGAGAGGGGGAUCGGCCACAAUGGGACUGAGACACGGCCCAAACUCCUACGGGAGGCAGCAGUAGGGGAUCUUCGGCAAUGGACGAAAGGCUGACCGAGCAACGCCGCGUGAGUGAAGAAGGGUUUCGGAUCGUAAAAAUCUGUUGGUAGAGAAGAACGUUGGUGGGAGUGGAAAGCUCAUCAAGUGACGGUAACUACUCAGAAAGGGACGGCUAACUACGUG